rnacentral:snRNA from 1 species
CAAUCCCCAACUGGCUGACUGAUUUCAAAGACUGGAAUGAUACAGAGAUUAGUAUGGCCCUUGUGCAAGAAUGAUAUGAAAAUUCACUGUUUUUUUUU